GCCGACGUAGCUCAGCGGUAGAGCAACCGCCUUGUAAGCGGUAGGUCGCCGGUUCGAUCCCGGCCGUCGGCU
rnacentral:tRNA from 1 species